CGUAGGGGGCGAGCGUUGUCCGGAUUUAUUGGGCGUAAAGAGCUCGUAGGCGGCUUGGCAAGUCGGGUGUGAAAACUCCAGGCUCAACCUGGAGACGCCACUCGAGACUGCUAUGGCUAGAGUCCGGUAGGGGAUCACGGAAUUCCUGGUGUAGCGGUGAAAUGCGCAGAUAUCAGGAGGAACACCGGUGGCGAAGGCGGUGGUCUGGGCCGGCACUGACGCUGAGGAGCGAAAGCGUGGGGAGCAAACAGGAUUAGAUACCCUGGUAGUCCACGCCGUAAACGUUGGGCACUAGGUGUGGGGCCUUAUCAACGGGUUCCGUGCCGUAGCUAACGCAUUAAGUGCCCCGCCUGGGGAGUACGGCCGCAAGGCUA
rnacentral:rRNA from 1 species